GACGAACCGUGCGAACGUUUAUUCGGGAAUCACUGGGCUUAAAGGGCGCGUAGGCGGGCCCGUCAGUCAGGGGUGAAAUCCCACGGCCCAACCGUGGAAGUGCCUCUGAUACUGCGGGCCUCGAGGGGGAUAGGGGCGUGCGGAACUCAGGGUGGAGCGGUGAAAUGCGUAGAUAUCCUGAGGAACACCGGUGGCGAAAGCGGCGCGCUGGAUCCCUUCUGACGCUGAGGCGCGAAAGCCAGGGGAGCAAAGCGGG
rnacentral:rRNA from 1 species